ensembl:miRNA
UCUGGGCAGAGCUGCAGGAGGGGGUCGAUGGCAGGGUCUGCCGCCCGUGUCACCCUGCCACCUGCCCUGUCUCUUUCACCCACAG